rnacentral:lncRNA from 1 species
AUUUUAUAAAACUUCUAGUAUAAUUAACAUUUUUUUUAGAUUAAAUUUAUUUAUUAAAUAGAUUUAAAAAUAUUAAAUUUAAAUAAAAAUUUAAUAUAAAAUAUUAAAAAAUAUCAUCCUGAAACAACUAGUAUUUUGCGCUUCUCCUCCUAUAUUCCUGAGCGGAGCAUGCCUAAGGUUUCGUUUGGGAUUGCGGAGAGAUUGCGUUACGUGCGGUGGGAAAGUACGUUGGAAAAAUAUCUUAUUUAUUUUCGUGCGUAAUAUUACGUUCCGCAUAUUGCGAUUAGUCGGUUACCAUAUAUUUUCUACGAUUUUAUCGGAGAACGCCGAAAUAUAUUUCUAUAUAUUUUUUUCACAACUUUAUUUUAUCUAAUAGUAUUUGAUACUCUUGAUG